rnacentral:rRNA from 1 species
AAGACCUUGCACUUUUGGAGCGGCCGAUGUCUGAUUAGCUAGUUGGUGGGGUAAUGGCCUACCAAAGCUUCGAUCAGUAGCUGGUCUGAGAGGACGGCCAGCCACACUGGGACUGAGACACGGCCCAGACUCCUACGGGAGGCAGCAGUGGGGAAUUUUGGACAAUGGGCGCAAGCCUGAUCCAGCCAUGCCGCGUGAGUGAAGAAGGCCUUCGGGUUGUAAAGCUCUUUCAGCCGGGAAGAAAAGGUUGCGACUAAUAAUCGCAAUUCAUGACGGUACCGAAAGAAGAAGCACCGGCUAACUACGUGCCAGCAGCCGCGGUAAUACGUAGGGUGCGAGCGUUAAUCGGAAUUACUGGGCGUAAAGGGUGCGCAAGCGGUUUUGUAAGUCAGAUGUGAAAUCCCCGGGCUUAACCUGGGAACU